AUUGAACGCUGGCGGCAUGCCUUACACAUGCAAGUCGAACGGUAACAGGUCUUCGGAUGCUGACGAGUGGCGAACGGGUGAGUAAUACAUCGGAACGUGCCUAGUAGUGGGGGAUAACUACUCGAAAGAGUGGCUAAUACCGCAUGAGAUCUACGGAUGAAAGCAGGGGAUCGCAAGACCUUGUGCUACUAGAGCGGCCGAUGGCAGAUUAGGGAGUUGGUGGGAUAAAAGCUUACCAAGCCGACGAUCUGUAGCUGGUCUGAGAGGACGAUAAGCCACACUGGGACUGAGAAACGGCCCAGAUUCCUACGGAGGCAGCAGUGGGGAAGUUUGGACAAUGGGCGCAAGCCUGAUCCAGCAAUGCCGCGUGCAGGAUGAAGGCCUUCGGGUUGUAAACUGCUUUUGUACGGAACGAAAAGCCCCGGGUUAAUACCCUGGGGUCAUGACGGUACCGUAAGAAUAAGCACCGGCUAACUACGUGCCAGCCGCCGCAGUAA
rnacentral:rRNA from 1 species